rnacentral:rRNA from 1 species
CAGUCGAGGGGCAUCGGGGCUAGGAGCUAUCCUUGCCGCCGGCGACCGGCGCACGGGUGAGUAACGCGUAUGCGACCUGCCCGUUGCAGGGGGAUAAUCGGGAGAAAUCCCGUCUAAUACCGCGUAACGCCGCGGGGCUGCAUGGCCCUGCGGCCAAAGGGAGCGAUUCCGGCAACGGAUGGGCAUGCGUGACAUUAGCUAGUUGGCGGGGCAACGGCCCACCAAGGCGACGAUGUCUAGGGGUUCUGAGAGGAAGGUCCCCCACACUGGUACUGAGACACGGACCAGACUCCUACGGGAGGCAGCAGUGAGGAAUAUUGGUCAAUGGGCGCGAGCCUGAACCAGCCAAGUCGCGUGAGGGAUGACGGCCCUACGGGUUGUAAACCUCUUUUGUCGGGGAGCAAAUUCCGCCACGUGUGGCGGAGUCGAGAGUACCCGAAGAAAAAGCAUCGGCUAACUCCGUGCCAGCAGCCGCGGUAAUACGGAGGAUGCGAGCGUUAUCCGGAUUUAUUGGGUUUAAAGGGUGCGUAGGCGGACUGUCACGUCAGCGGUAAAAUACGGGGGCUCAACCUCCGCCCGCCGUUGAAACUGACGGUCUUGAGUGGGCGAGAAGUAUGCGGAAUGCGUGGUGUAGCGGUGAAAUGCAUAGAUAUCACGCAGAACUCCGAUUGCGAAGGCAGCAUACCGGCGCCCGACUGACGCUGAAGCACGAAAGCGUGGGUAUCGAACAGGAUUAGAUACCCUGGUAGUCCACGCAGUAAACGAUGAAUACUAGCUGUCCGGGGCGAAUG